ACCAGCGAGAUGCUCUCCUGGGACCUGGUGGAGGGAACCGGGAACGGCCCCCUGGGCACCGGGAAUGAUGACCUGGGCACUGGGAACAGGCCCCUGGGCACCGGGAAUGAUGACCUGGGCAUUGGGAAUGAUGACCUGGGCACCAGGAACGGCCACAUGGGCACCAGGAAUGGUGACCUCGGGCACUGGGAAUGGUCACCUGGGCACCGGGAAUGGCGACCUGGGCAACGGGAAUGAUGAGCUGGUCACUGGGAAUGGUGACCUGGGCACUGGGAAUGGCGACCUGGGCAACGGGAAUGAUGAGCUGGUCACUGGGAAUGGUGACCUCGGCACCGGGAACGGCCACCUGGGUACCAGGAACGGCGACCUGGGCACUGGGAAUGGUCAUCUGGGCAUUGGCAACGGCACGGCCCGACCCGCCAGCGGCCAGCCUGGCACUGGCAGCGGUGACCUGGGCACUGGGAACGGCCACCCUGGCCCCAGCAGCGCUGGAAGCGGCACCAGGGAUGGCGAUGGGAAUGGCGGCGCCGGCGCUGGGAAAGGAGGCACCGGCACUGGGAAUGAUGGUGGUGGCGGUGGCCUCGGCACUGGCAAUGGUGGCCUCGGCUUUGGGAACGGCGUCCUGGGCACCAAGAGCGGCGACUCGGCACUGGGAACGGCGUCCUGGGCACUGGGAAUGGUGGCCUGGGCACCAAGAGUGGUGGCCCUGGUGCCAGUGUCCCCAGCACUGGUGGCCCUGGUGGCACUGGUGGCGGGAGCAGCAUGGUGGGGAACGGUGUCCCCGGUGUCCCCGGCGUUGGAAUUGGCGUCACCAGCACGGGCGGUGGCCUCACCGGUGUCCCCGGCAUCGGGAAUGGCUUCGCUGGAGGUGGCCCCGGUGGCCUCGGGGGCCCCGGGCUGGGCGUCCCCCCCGGUGCCGACGGCGACAGCUCCGGUGACUCCGACAGCACCGUCGUGGAGGAGGGGCCGGGAGAGGCCCCCCCAGAGCCCCCCCAGCCCCGUGGGGUCCCCCCCGCUGUCCCCAGCGAUGUCCCCAGCGAUGUCCCCAAGGGCGGCCCCGGGGACUGGGAGCAGGAGCGCCAGACCCUGCGGGCGCUGCAGGAACUGGGGGGGCCCCCCGAGAGCCCCCCGGCCGGGGCCCUCCCCCGCCUGGCAGUGCGGGAGCUGCUGUUCUGGCGGGACGUGCGGCGCAGCGCGGUGGCCUUCGGGGCCAGCCUGGUGCUGCUGCUGUCGCUGGCCACGCUCAGCGCCGUCACCGUGGUGGCCCACGUGGCGCUGGCCCUGCUCUGCGUCACCAUCAGCCUGCGCGUCUACAAGGCCGUGGUGCAGGCCCUGCAGAAGUCCGAGGAGGGGCACCCCUUCAGGGCGUACCUGGAGCUGGACGUGACGUUGUCCCCCGAGCGCUUCCAGGCCCAGGCGGCCGCCGUGGCCCUGCACGUGAACCGCGCGCUGCGGCUGCUGCUGCGCCUCUUCCUCGUCGAGGACCUGGUGGAUUCCCUGGAGCUGGCCCUGACCAUGUGGCUGCUGACCUACGUGGGCGCCGUCUUCAACGGCAUCACCCUCCUCAUCCUCG